UACGGAGGGUGCAAGCGUUAUCCGGAUUCACUGGGUUUAAAGGGUGUGUAGGCGGGUAUUUAAGUCAGUGGUGAAAUCUCCGAGCUCAACUCGGAAACUGCCAUUGAUACUAUUUAUCUUGAAUAUUGUUGAGGUAGGCGGAAUAUGUCAUGUAGCGGUGAAAUGCUUAGAUAUGACAUAGAACACCGAUUGCGAAGGCAGCUUGCUAAACAAUGAUUGACGCUGAGGCACGAAAGCGUGGGGAUCAAACAGG
rnacentral:rRNA from 1 species